rnacentral:rRNA from 1 species
GACGAACGCUGGCGGUGUGCUUAACACAUGCAAGUCGAACGGUAAGGCCCUUUCGGGGGUACACGAGUGGCGAACGGGUGAGUAACACGUGAGUAACCUGCCCUCAUCUCUGGGAUAACAGUCGGAGACGGUUGCUAAUACUGGAUAUGAGCUUGCAAGGCAUCUUGUGGGUUGGAAAGAUUUUUUUUGGUUGGGGAUGGACUCGCGGCCUAUCAGCUUGUUGGUGAGGUAGUGGCUCACCAAGGCUUCGACGGGUAGCCGGCCUGAGAGGGCGACCGGCCACAUUGGGACUGAGAUACGGCCCAAACUCCUACGGGAGGCAGCAGUGGGGAAUAUUGCACAAUGGACGGAAGUCUGAUGCAGCAACGCCGCGUGCGGGAUGACGGCCUUCGGGUUGUAAACCGCUUUCAAUUGUGACGAAGCUUUUUUGUGACGGUAGCAGUAGAAGAAGCACCGGCUAACUACGUG